AACGAACGCUGGCGGCAUGCCUAACACAUGCAAGUCGAACGAAACCUUCGGGACUAGUGGCGCACGGGUGCGUACCGCGUGGGAACCUGCCCUUAGGUUCCGAAUAACUCACCGACAGGGGUGCUAAUACAGGGUAAUGUCUUCGGACCAAAGAUUUAUCGCCUUUGAAUGGGCCCGCGUUAGAUUAGCUAGUUGGUAGGGUAAAAGCGUACCAAGGGGACGAUCCAUAGCUGGGCAGAGAGGAUGAUAAGCCACUCUUGGAAUGAGACGCGGCCCAGACACCUACGGAAGGCAGCAGUGGGGAAUAUUGGACUACGGGCGAGAGCCUGAUCCACCCAUGCCGCGGGAGUCAUGAAGGCGGUAGGGAUGUAAAGCUCUUUUACCCCGGAGGAUUAUGACAGUACCCGGAGAAUAAGCACCGGCUAACUCCGUG
rnacentral:rRNA from 1 species